ensembl:snRNA U6 U6 spliceosomal RNA
UUGGCUUUCUUAAGCUGCAGGUAUAUGAAAAUCGGAACAAUACAGAGAAAAUUAGCAUAAAACCUGUGCAAGAAUGAUGAACAAGAUCAUGAAUUUUGCUAGUUAGAA